rnacentral:tRNA from 4 species
GGCCCCGUCGCCAAGUGGUAAGGCAGAGGUCUGCAAAACCUCCAUCACCAGUUCAAAUCUGGUCGGGGCCUCCA